rnacentral:rRNA from 1 species
AGAGUUUGAUCAUGGCUCAGAUUGAACGCUGGCGGCAGGCCUAACACAUGCAAGUCGAACGGUAACAGGAAACAGCUUGCUGUUUCGCUGACGAGUGUCGGACGGGUGAGUAAUGUCUGGGAAACUGCCUGAUGGAGGGGGAUAACUACUGGAAACGGUAGCUAAUACCGCAUAACGUCGCAAGACCAAAGAGGGGGACCUUCGGGCCUCUUGCCAUCAGAUGUGCCCAGAUGGGAUUAGCUAGUAGGUGGGGUAACGGCUCACCUAGGCGACGAUCCCUAGCUGGUCUGAGAGGAUGACCAGCCACACUGGAACUGAGACACGGUCCAGACUCCUACGGGAGGCAGCAGUGGGAAUAUUGCACAAUGGGCGCAAGCCUGAUGCAGCCAUGCCGCGUGUAUGAAGAAGGCCUUCGGGUUGUAAAGUACUUUCAGCGGGGAGGAAGGGAGUAAAGUUAAUACCUUUGCUCAUUGACGUUACCCGCAGAAGAAGCACCGGCUAACUCCGUGCCAGCAGCCGCGGUAAUACGGAGGGUGCAAGCGUUAAUCGGAAUUACUGGGCGUAAAGCGCACGCAGGCGGUUUGUUAAGUCAGAUGUGAAAUCCCCGGGCUCAGCCUGGGAACUGCAUCUGAUACUGGCAAGCUUGAGUCUCGUAGAGGGGGGUAGAAUUCCAGGUGUAGCGGUGAAAUGCGUAGAGAUCUGGAGGAAUACCGGUGGCGAAGGCGGCCCCCUGGACGAAGACUGACGCUCAGGUGCGAAAGCGUGGGGAGCAAACAGGAUUAGAUACCCUGGUAGUCCACGCCGUAAACGAUGUCGACUUGGAGGUUGUGCCCUUGAGGCGUGGCUUCCGGAGCUAACGCGUUAAGUCGACCGCCUGGGGAGUACGGCCGCAAGGUUAAAACUCAAAUGAAUUGACGGGGGCCCGCACAAGCGGUGGAGCAUGUGGUUUAAUUCGAUGCAACGCGAAGAACCUUACCUGGUCUUGACAUCCACGGAAGUUUUCAGAGAUGAGAAUGUGCCUUCGGGAACCGUGAGACAGGUGCUGCAUGGCUGUCGUCAGCUCGUGUUGUGAAAUGUUGGGUUAAGUCCCGCAACGAGCGCAACCCUUAUCCUUUGUUGCCAGCGGUCCGGCCGGGAACUCAAAGGAGACUGCCAGUGAUAAACUGGAGGAAGGUGGGGAUGACGUCAAGUCAUCAUGGCCCUUACGACCAGGGCUACACACGUGCUACAAUGGCGCAUACAAAGAGAAGCGACCUCGCGAGAGCAAGCGGACCUCAUAAAGUGCGUCGUAGUCCGGAUUGGAGUCUGCAACUCGACUCCAUGAAGUCGGAAUCGCUAGUAAUCGUGGAUCAGAAUGCCACGGUGAAUACGUUCCCGGGCCUUGUACACACCGCCCGUCACACCAUGGGAGUGGGUUGCAAAAGAAGUAGGUAGCUUAACCUUCGGGAGGGCGCUUACCACUUUGUGAUUCAUGACUGGGGUGAAGUCGUAACAAGGUAACCGUAGGGGAACCUGCGGUUG